rnacentral:rRNA from 1 species
AUAGUUGAAAAGGCUUGGAAAAGUUUUUCAAUGAAAGGGAUAAGAUUAAUGGUUCUUAUUUGCCAUAGGAUAGGAUCGUGGUCGAUUAUGGUUGUUGGUGAGGUAACGGCUCACCAAGCCGAUAAUCGAUAGGGGCCGUGAGAGCGGGAGCCCCGAGAUGGGUACUGAGACAACGACCCAGGCCUUACGAGGCGCAGCAGGCGCGAAACCUCCGCAAUACACGAAAGUGUGACGGGGUUACCCAAAGUGUCCAUAAUUGGACUGUGGUAGGUGAGUAAUGUCCCCUACUAGAAAGGAGAGGGCAAGGCUGGUGCCAGCCGCCGCGGUAAAACCAGCUCUUCAAGUGGUCGGGAUAAUUAUUGGGCUUAAAGUGUCCGUAGCCGGUUUAGUAAGUUCCUGGUAAAAUCGGGUAGCUUAACUAUCUGUAUGCUAGGAAUACUGCUGUACUAGAGGACGGGAGAGGUCUGAGGUACUACAGGGGUAGGGGUGAAAUCUUAUAAUCCUUGUAGGACCACCAGUGGCGAAGGCGUCAGACUGGAACGUGCCUAACGGUGAGGGACGAAAGCCAGGGGAGCGAACCGGAUUAGAUACCCGGGUAGUCCUGGCCGUAAACGAUGCAUACUAGGUGAUGGCAUGGCUAUGAGCCGUGUCAGUGCCGUAGGGAAACCGUUAAGUGUGCCGCCUGGGAAGUACGGUCGCAAGGCUAAAACUUAA